GCCUGACUGGCUCAGUCUACAGAGCAUGUGACUCUUGACCUUGGGGUUGUGGGUUCGAGUCCCAUGCUGGGUA
rnacentral:tRNA from 1 species